GUCGGCACUUUGAUCUUUUUUUCUUAGGGGUUCAAAUUUUAUUGACUUCGUCCACAGGGGGGUGUGUUCAUUAAAUGGAAUGGCCCUUUUGAAUUAUAUAUUGAAUUCUCAAGAUGUCCUGUAUUUUCGGAAUUUGUUUUUUACUUUAUUUUUUUAAAUUGUCGGCUGGUCAUGGCUUUUUUUUAAUAAGUUUUUUUGGGGAAUUUACUUUUAUUUGCCUAGAUAAAAAAUUAACCUGACAUGCAAUUUGUCAUUUGCGAUGCUAAAGCUAGCCCGCGUGCUGGCCCAUCGAGGGUAUAUUCUUCUCUCGAUGGGCCUGCACGCGGGCUAUGCUAUAAAGCCGGUUACAGAUGAGUAGGUUUUCUAUACUCUAUAGUUUAUUCGUCAAUCGCACGUGUUUACCUACAAUAAAUUUUCUAUGACAAAGUUUUAGCUUUCUGACAGUCACGAUAACUAAAUAUUACUAUACUAGCUACUAGAAGUUACUAACUUAGGCCCCGUUUACAUGAGAUCGCGACGAAGUCGAACCAGAAUGAAAAUUGAAAUUGUCAACAUGUUCACUUGAGACCGGUACGAAAAUCACGAAAUUUUCAAUUUAUUCCCCUUGCCAGACAAUUAAUUUCUUUUUCAGAUGGCUUUUGUUAGCAUGUGUUGUUCCAAUGUCAAGGUUACAGCCGAGACCGGUCUGAAAUGUACUUGCGUUCACAUUCAUCCCGGUCUAAGGCCCCAGUUAUACACCAUACCGGAUUCGUAUCGGAGCGACAUCGAUUUAAGGUGUUUUCCAGUCAUGCCUGCUCUUACAACUUUUUAUAUUUGAAGCUUUUGUUUAAUUAUGUUAUAUUAUCAUAAUUUUAAGUGCCCAAAUUCAACUCGAAGCAGUAAAAUUUGAUGUCGCUCCGAUGCGAAUCCGGUAUCGUGUAACUGGGGCCUAAGUCAGUCGGCUAGGUCCAGCAGGCGGAAUGACUUGAGACCGGUCAGAGUUAUUUUCGUCCUGGUCUCAUGUUUACAUCUAUUAUAAAUAAUACUAUGACCAAAACGAAAUGGUCCCGAUUUCACUUCGUUCCGGUUUCAUGUAAACGGGGCCUUAAGCCAGUUUUCCACUUCAAUCGUAUCGUACCGAAACGUAGCGUGUUUCUUUGUUUCUUGACCACUAGAGUGGAACUAAUGACUUCGACACAAAAGAAAAUGCUACGGUACGUUACGAUAUAGUUGAAGUGGAAAACCGGCUGUACUUUAUUUAUUUAACUUCGCCAUUAUCAUGCAUGCAUUCAUGGCAGGGUCACCACAACAGUAUAUGUUACAAAUUACUGUGGGCCCUUUAAAUUUUAAAUAGAUAAUAAAACACAAAUAAAAUACAACGAAAGUGAUCAAAGUCAUCACACGAAUUGGAACUUGAAGCCAAGCAAACAAAUUCCUCGAAGUUUUCGUUGUAUUGUAUUUCACAAACAUACUUAAUUAGCUGCUUGCAAAUUUUAUAAAACAUAUAACAAUUCAUAGAAUAUAAAAUAGCUAUUGAAACUUAAUAAACAAGGGUAGGAAGAUCUGACAACUUCGAAAAAUAGAUCAAAACAGUAAAGAACCUGGACGUGCACAAAUUGACACAAAUCUAUGCAAAUUUAGACAGAACAUAAAAUUAAGACUUACAACCUUCCUAAUCAUGUUUAUAUUUCAAUAACUAUGAGACACUAUAAUAGCAGCAAGAGAGUGAAGCAGCAAGACUACGAGCAGUGUUACACUUUAAUCAGAUAGACUUCCAUGUCCGAGGAUUUUGAGGUUGAUUUAUAGGUAUAAGGCAGUUUUGAAGUAGUCUAACAGCAGAGAUUUAAAUCUUGGUAAAGUGAGAGACUGAUGUCUCAGUUCUGCAGGAAGAACGUUCCAAACUCUUGCUGUUCUAUUCAUGAAUACUAUCACAAGGAAUGAAAGAAAGUGCUGCCUCACCCCCAAGGGAUCAAAGGCAGCAUGCGCAAUCCGUUGCUGAAUAAAGUCUGGUUUCUAUAUGGUCGUAAAAAUAGAAUAACGAUCUUUCUAAAUGGCCAGUUUAUAUAGAGAAUAAUACAUGGGUGCGCGGAAAUACCAGAUUUAUUUCGAGUGUUGAACAUGAUAUCAUGUUCAACACGAGAAAUAAAUCUGGUAAUUCCAAGCACCCAUGUAUUUUUCUGUUUAUUAUAUAAAGGACAGUCUUUGAAAAGCGAUAAUUUUUACAGAAAAGCGAUAAUUGAAAAGCGAUAAUUUUCACAUGUGAGAUUAUCAUGAAUAAUCUCACAUGUGAGAUUAUCACUUUUAUCAGUGCUCGAAAUCUCUUUCAAAAACUCAUUAAUAAUUCAUGAAGCAAUUAUCCAAUCUUGAGUAAGAAAUUAGUCACGUGCAUGCGUCUUUAUACCAGCUAAAGAACACUUUAACAAAAGACCAUUGUUAUGCAAACUAUAUAAAUAUUUUUAUAU